ACUAUUUGGAAUCAGUGACGUUUCGGGAGCACUGCCGCUGCCAUGAACAUGUCGGUCCCAAGCGACUCAUGAAACAACUGCCCAUUCAGUCCACGGCUGGUGCCAUCCUGGUUCGCAAUGAGAAAGUUCAAUGUGGGAGAGAGCCCUUUGUGCUAGAGAGGAUCAGUGGAACCAAAAACAAAGAGGGCUUGUGGGACAGUGUUUAUGAAGUCUACAUGAGUGUGCAGUAAUGCUCUAGUCUUUCACAUCAAUCACCACCUCGCUGAGUAAAUUCCAGUCCUGCAGUAUCCAUUCUUGAUGCGGAGGCUCGAAGAAGUCACAGUCAUGGUUAAGGUCCCAGACUGAGGUGGCAGAACCAGAACUAGAAAUAAAGCGUC